rnacentral:rRNA from 1 species
GUAGGCAGCGAGCGUUGUUCGGAAUUACUGGGCGUAAAGAGUGUGUAGGCGGUGCUCUAAGUUCGGUGUGAAAUCUCCCGGCUUAACUGGGAGGGUGCGCCGGAAACUGGAGUGCUCGAGCGUGGGAGAGGAAAGCGGAAUUCCUGGUGUAGCGGUGAAAUGCGUAGAUAUCAGGAGGAACACCUGUGGUGUAGACAGCUUACUGGACCAUUUCUGACGCUGAGACACGAAAGCGUGGGUAGCAAACAGG